CACUAUUUAUUUACAAAUAUACUAGCGGGAAAACAGCUGAAGCCAAGUUCACCUUCCUGUCCUAAAUAGGGGAAAUAGCUGCUUCAGGGGAGAUAACAGCUGAGGUGGGGGGGUGAUUUUUUUUUUUUGGCGGGAAAACAGUCUGAGGUGAAAAGAGUCCUGAACAGCAUCUUCAGGGGGAGAUUCUGCUGAGAGGCAGUUUUUGGCAGGAAAACAGCUGAAGCCAAGCGAGUUCACCUUCCCCUCCGUGAACACUGUGGUCCCGAUCAGGCGAAGAUCCAUUAAGGCUCUUUAUUUUUAAAAUGACAGAAGAGGAGCGUCUGCUCCUCAGCAUGGCUCUUCAGCCUGUGAUUAGCUGAAGCAUGGUUGUUUGAUACAUAGUGGCCAACUUAUUUAAUUUAAUUCAUUAAUUAAUUUAUUAUUUUAUUUUUUACAUUUUAUAUCCCGCUCUACCGCCAAGGAGCCCAGAGCGGUGCGCUACAUACUUAGGUUUCUCCUCACAACAACCCUGUGAAGUAGGUCAGGCUGAGAGAGAAGUGACUGGCCCAGAGUCACCCAGCUAGUAUCAUGGCUGAAUGGGGAUUUGAACUCGGGUCUCCCCAGUCCUAGUCCAGCACUCUAACCACUACACCACGCUACACCACGCUGGCUUAUUUGACAAAAUGGCUCCCGCCUUCUCGAAGCACCUGACCAUUUUCAGGUUAUAGGCCUGAUAUAUGGCUGGGGGAGAGCUCAUUCCUUUUCUGACAGAGCCUUUAAACCAUAAAACAGCUGUUUUUCAUUUUAGCUGGAUAUUUUAUAUUCUUUUAAAACCAACUGCCUUCAGGAUGGGGCGAGUUACAGGUUUAGGCAGAGGAAUAAAAUAAAACGAGAGGGAAACAUUCAACAGCUGCCGCUUUUUGCCUUCACAGAGCUGUCACGAAGACUGCACCUGUUGACCUUCCUGCUGAUUUCGGUACAGAGUCAGAAACUCGGCACUUCUGUGAAAGAGAUCUUCUAACGAGACGGACUACGGGGAAUUUCCUUUUUCUGUAUCAGCCUUAAAUACUCGGCGAGUUUUUAUUUGCAUGUGUGUGCAUGCUUGUGUUUUAUGGAGGAACAUUGCUAGGCCGUCCAGGCAAAACUGCCGAACGGCUGGCAAUGCUCAAAGGAAAGUAGGAAAUGGACAAGGCGGAUGGAGUUGCUGAGGUAGGCAAGCUGGCCAGCAAGGCUGACUCUCGAGAUCUCCGGGGAACCGUCUUUCUUGGAGGCUGGCCCCUGUGUGUUUUGGAUUCUCCUCAUAAGAGAUGGCUGCUUCUGCGGUUUUUCUGGUUGGAAUACAGCUGACGAAAGACACAGUGGCUUGUGAUUUAUCAGCCCACCAUGCUCAUGCGCGGGACUGGAGAAGAGAGAACUGCCUCGUUUCUUUCACAGUCAGCUCCUGUGAUGUUCCUGGGUGUGCCUAAGAGAGAUGAUGGAUGGCCACCAUGUUGGGGGCAGAUGGAGUGUGCCUGGGGUUCACCAAGAGCACUGAGCUGUCCAAUCUGCUGACGGAUGAAGCGUGUCCAGCCCAUGAGGGAUGACACCUCCAGCGGCCUAGCCUCCCCCACGUCUCCCCUCCUACCCUGCGGCUGUCACGCUGGGGCGGCGAAGGUGAUGGAGCGUGUCCGCUGUGCGAAGGACGUCAUUGCCUUGUGCUGUGCGGGAGCUUUUGCUGAUGGGCCAUCUUUCUUCCACCCCCGGCAUCUUUUCCACUCCCUGGGCCAGAUCCACACUGGAUGUAAACCACCAAUGCGCAUUCCGAUUGAUUCAAGUCGAGCCACAACAGUCUGCAGGGAAGGUUUAGUUCACCCCCUGUGUUUUCUUUCUGUCUGUACAAAUGCGAUAUAGCCAAGCUGACCUCCUCCACGAGUGCUUCAGAGCCAUCAGCUGUGUUGAAUCACCCUGCAAUAUAGGCAGCAUGGUCCUGCUCAAAAACCUAGCUGUUUUAAUGCCGUAAAGUGCUUCUUUGGUACAGGAUAGGAACACAGGAAGCUGCCUUCUACUGCCGAAUCAGACUAUUGGUCCAUCUAGCUCAGUAUUGUCUACCCAGACUGGCAGCAGCUUCUCCAAAAUUACAGGCAGGAGUUUCUCUCAGAAGAGAUGCCAGGGAGGGAAUUUGGAACCUUCUACAUGCAAGCAUGCAGAUGCUCUUCCCAGGGUGGCCCCAUCCCCUAAGGAGAAUAGUCUCCCAUUCAAAAGCAGACCAGGGUAGACUCUUCUUAGCAAAGGGGACAAUUCAUGCAUGCUACCACAAGACCUAUUGUUAGUUAACUCUGAAGUCAUUCUCAGUACCUGUUAACUGGGCAAAGAGGCACCUUUUUAAAGUGGUGGUUAGCUUUAUUGAGCGGAGGAGAGCAAUAAAGCCCUCUCCACCCCCAGCACAGUACCCAUCCUGUGACUGUUGCUGGUGUCUAUCUUAUGUUUCUUUUUUAGAUUGUGAACCCUUUGGGGACAGGGCUCCAUCUUAUUUUAUUUUAUUAUUUAUUAUUUCUCUAAGUAAGUCGCCUUGGAAACUUUUGUUGAAAAGUGGUAUAUAAUUAUUUGUUGUAGUUCCUUUGUACCAGUAGGAAAGCUGUAGCUCACUCAAGUACAGCUGCUCGAGAGAAGUGCUGGGAUCACUCCUGAUCCCAGAGCUCCUCUGCCAGCUAGCCUGGGUUUGAAACCUCAGCUAAAAGUGAAGUAGGAGGAAGUGUCCCCUCUAACAGGGAUUCCCAGAUGUUGUUGACUACAACUCCCAGAAUCCCCAGCUACAAUGGGUUUUGCAUUGGGAUGCUGGAAGCUGUAGUCAACAACAUCUGGGAAUCCCUGUUAGAGGGAAAAUUGGUAGGAGGACAUGCACACACUUCCUACCUCACUGCCUUGUUGGUGGAAACUCAGGCUGCCAGCAGCCCGAGCUUCCAUGGACCUGGGGGGAAGGACGGGAAGAUAUCGUAAUGCACCAUGCAAGCAGUUUGGUGCAUUCUGGGAUAUCUGGUGGCUGGGCGACCUUCCCCACCACCUCCGGAUCACUGCACCACUUACCACAGCGCCUGUCACUGGGCAUGCAGCAUGAGCAAGCCCGGGAGUGGAAGGGCCGGGGUUAUGUGGGGGAAGGAAGGUAGAUUCCUGCCUCCCCUCCAUUGCCCUCCUCAGCCUCAGCAGUCAGCCUCAGAACAACCUCUCUGUCUUGGUGAUGGACAGGUUUUCCCUCGAUCUGAGCACAGGCUGUGUGUUAUCAGCAAACACCUCCAGCCAACAUCUGGAACAGCAGGUUCAACACAGUGCAAUAUCUGGGACUUAAGUACUACUUAUACAUAAGGUUUAAAAAGCGUCCCUUCAACUUUUUUUUUUUGCCUUUUUUGCAUAUAUUAUGAAGGGGUUUAAUGGGUGAUUUUUCUGUUAUAGGAACCGAGGAAGCUGCCCCACACUGAGUCAGGCCAUUGCUCCAUCCAGCCCAGCACUGCCCCCCAAGGUCCCUGGCAGGAGCCUCUCCGCCCCCAGCCUCACCUGGAGAUGCCCAAGAAGGAACUGAUCUUAUUUUGAUUCAGCUAGCUGUUUCAAGAGAAGCAACUCCCAUGAAUGGUCUACAACAUCUUGCAACAAUUAAUUCCACAACAGAAGUAUGCCUUGCAUGGAGAAAUACUUCCUUACAUCCACCCUGGAACAUGUUUCCGAAGGCGCCGGGUCCAGGCGUCCCGCCACUGGAUGACCAAGCUGUUCUUGUCGGCCAUGAGGCCCAGCCGCUCAGUGGGGUUUUCGCUGAUGCCCAUGACCAAGUAUUUCCUGCUGAUUUGGAUCUUGGGGCAUUUGCACGCCAGAUCUUUCAUGUGGAUCCACAAGAAGUUGUCACCACGCUUCACCCGCUCAUCUCUGCACUUGUAGACCGAGAGGAUGUUGACUGUGAACUUGGCCCAGUUGGCCACGGUCUCCAUGUCUAAGACGUUCACUUGGACAACUGAAGGAAAAAGGGCCAAGGCAAAUUUGGAGGAAGUGGAUUGUGGCCCUGGACCUGGUUCCUGGUCCAGGUGUAAACCUGGGUCUGUACUGCACUGCUUCAGACUGCAAAUGGAGACUCACGUGAUGGAACACUCCUCCAUACAAAAAAUUCCCUGCACCCAGACAAGACGACUAGCAUUUUAGGAAGACGACAAGUUGCCUUUGGCUGGCUUGCAGUAGGAAUCACAGUCUGCAAGGGAGAGAACAGAUGAGGUCAGAACAGCAACGUGGAAGCUUGCAGAGUGGCAACACGGUCACCAUCAGCAUCUAACUAGAUGUUAGGAGAGAAAUGUUCCCUUGUGAUACUAAUCUCCUGCACUCUUCUUACUGCGAGGAGAUCAUCAACGGAAGACUGACGCUUCUUUGAAGUUGAAUCAACAAGACUCUUCCUGAACUCUUGGAUCAUGAGAAAAUUACCAGAACUAGCUGACCCGGCGCAGAGCAUCUGCACCCCUCGUUCUCCCUGUCUCUCCCCCACCCAUCUUCAUUUUGUCCUCAGCCCCAGUCCUUUCUCCUUCUCCCAGCCCGCUUUCUCUCACCACCCUCUGGCAGUGCGUUUCCUCACCACCGGCCUGCCUGGCUGACUCUUUUCCUCUGUGCCAACCAGCCUGGCCACCGUUCACCUGUACCCGCUGCUAUCUGGCAGCUGAACUCUCAUGGGAUUAGCGAUGGGUACUCUCUCUCUACACACACACACACACCGACCGAAACGGAGGGGACUUCAGCAGAUAGUUAGCAGUUAAGCCAACUGGAUUUCAGUCGGCCGAGGUGCUCCUUCCUCUCCCUGGCUUUGCAGUCGAUCCACUCAGACAAGAUGGUUGCACCCAUCUGCCCAUCCCAUCUGCAUGGCUUGGAUGAAGCUCUUCUGGGAAAGUGGGCUUGUCCAACCCUCCUCCGCUUCUCUGCUAUGGCAACCCAAAAGGAGGCCAGGAACGCGUCGCUGCUCCUGCUGCCCACCCUGCGUUUCCUGACACGGUCACGCUCCCUCACCCACAAGCGGUGUAGACACCUGACUUCAAACAGCCUGUGAGUGUCUGGGUCUGAAGAGUCCAGGAUCUCGCCCCUGCCUUGGCACCCCCACCACAAGCUGUCCCCCUCAGUCCCCCUCCUGUGAACGUUAUUUUACCAAUAAAAGGAGAGAGAAGCAUCCCCUCUCCCGUUUCUUCCCCCUGU